rnacentral:rRNA from 1 species
CCUACGGGAGGCAGCAGUGAGGAAUAUUGGUCAAUGGACGAGAGUCUGAACCAGCCAAGUCGCGUGAAGGAUGACUGUCCUAUGGGUUGUAAACUUCUUUUGUCAGGGAGCAAUUGGGUCCACGCGUGGGCUUAGCGAGAGUACCUGAAGAAAAAGCAUCGGCUAACUCCGUGCCAGCAGCCGCGUUAAUACGGAGGGUGCGAGCGUUAUCCGGAUUUAUUGGGUGUAAAGGUAGCGUAGAUGGGUUGUUAAGUCAGUUGUGAAUGUCUGCGGGUCAACCGUAAGAUGGCAAUUGAUACUGGCAGUCUUGAGUACAGUUGAGGUAGGCGGAAUUCGUGGUGUAGCGGUGAAAUGCUUAGAUAUCACGAAGAACCCCGAUUGCGAAGGCAGCUUACUGAACUGUGACUGACAUUGAUGCUCGAAAGUGUGGGUAUCAAACAGGAUUAGAUACCCUAGUAGUC